AUUGAACGCUGGCGGCAUGCUUUACACAUGCAAGUCGAACGGUAACAGGCCGCAAGGUGCUGACGAGUGGCGAACGGGUGAGUAAUGCAUCGGAACGUGCCCAGUCGUGGGGGAUAACUACUCGAAAGAGUAGCUAAUACCGCAUACGACCUAUGGAUGAAAGCGGGGGACCGUAAGGCCUCGCGCGAUUGGAGCGGCCGAUGUCAGAUUAGGUAGUUGGUGGGGUAAAGGCUCACCAAGCCAACGAUCUGUAGCUGGUCUGAGAGGACGACCAGCCACACUGGGACUGAGACACAGCCCAGACUCCUACGGGAGGCAGCAGUGGGGAAUUUUGGACAAUGGGCGCAAGCCUGAUCCAGCAAUGCCGCGUGCAGGAAGAAGGCCUUCGGGUUGUAAACUGCUUUUGUACGGAACGAAACGGCUCUGGUUAAUACCCGGGGCUAAUGACGGUACCGUAAGAAUAAGCACCGGCUAACUACGUG
rnacentral:rRNA from 1 species